AUACCUUUCUCGGCCUUUUGGCUAAGAUCAAGUGUAGUAUCUGUUCUUAUCAGUUUAAUAUCUGAUAUGUGAGUCAUCGACUCACACGAUAUUAACUCUAUUUUUUGAGGGGGAAGGUCCACCACGGUAGCUUGCUAUCGAGACCUUCAAGUGUCGCCUAGGUGUUGCACUACUGCCUUGGCCUGGCACACCCCAC
rnacentral:snRNA from 2 species